rnacentral:rRNA from 1 species
GACGUAGGGUGCGAGCGUUGUCCGGAUUUAUUGGGCGUAAAGAGCUCGUAGGCGGCUCGUCGCGUCGUCCGUGAAAACCCGCGGCUUAACCGCGGGCUUGCGGUUGAUACGGGCGGGCUAGAGUUCGGUAGGGGAGACUGGAAUUCCUGGUGUAGCGGUGAAAUGCGCAGAUAUCGGGAGGAACACCAGUGGCGAAGGCGGCAUCCUGGACCGGCAUUGACGCUGAGGCGCGAAAGCCAGGGGAGCAAACGGG